rnacentral:lncRNA from 1 species
CCAGCUGAUUUCUGAGUACAUGUCAAAGCUAGUGGGAGCAUAAGUGUUAUGCUAAUAAUCAUCAUGUUAGUGGGAGCAUGAUAAUUAUGAUAAGUAUUGCAAGUUAGCAAUGUUAAUUAUAGAAAACAAAAAGUUUCAAUUCGUGAGGUUGCAGGGUUUGAAAAAGUUGUUUUGCUAUAAUUAAGGGAGAGGAAAUUAUACUUCAUCUCAAAUCUAUAAGCUUAGAUCGUGAGGUUUUAAUCAUUUAGUCAAGGAUAUAUAUGAAUUUCAUGUUGGAAUGGCUCAACAUAAGGAAAUUCUGUAUAUGGGUCCAUUAUUUGCGUUCUAAAAUUCGAUUAUGAUUACGGCAUCCCUUUUCAUAAUCUGAAUUAUGAGAACUUGGCAAAUUGAAAUGGAAAUAUUAUAGCAAAAGACUGGUUUAGUCUUUAUGUGAGUCAUCAUGAAUCAUGUCUCAUGUGCUUUAGAUAUAGGAUCGAUUACAUGUGCUAUAUUCACUCUUUCUAAAUUUUUCCAAAUGCCUGGGGCAUGAAGAAGGGAAAAAGGUCUAGAAAUUGAUAUGACUAAAAUGAUUAAGCAAUUGUUGCGGACAAUAUAAGGUUUACCAAAGAUUGGUUGCUCAAGGACAGUUGGAAGUAUAGUGAUAAUUCUGGAAGGACCAUAUUGACAUAAUCUGUAAGGAGGCAACUCUUGUUCAGAAGUGAUAGUCAAAAUGGAAUCUGGAAAUGUUUCAAAGUUAGAAUUUUCAAUCUGUUUAAGAUUAGGAAACUUAAUGCAAGAAGGAUGUUUCCAAGGAGCUGAUCUCCUUUGGAAUACUCUGUAAUGAUUGUUGUCAAGUCUUUCUGACUUUGUGCAUAAUCAUUACAAGAGGAUCAAUGCAUAUAAGUUUAGAAUCUAACAGAUUUCAGUAAAUGGCAUGAAUUUGGAAUUCUUGCAUUUGCAGUAAGGAUUUGGGAGUGUGAAAAGAGAAUCAUUGAAGUUAUGUUCAAUUGAUCUAGUUCACAAAGUAAAGAUCAUAGACAAACAUAGUAUGCAUACUUGGUGUGUGGCAUGACUAGUGUUUAAGAAAACAUAGUGUACAUGCUUGGAGCAUGGGACAACUAUUGUUUUAAACUCAAGAAUAAAGUUGAUAGUUGAAACAGUAUCCAAUGAAUAAUGUGUGAUCAUAUGGUGAUAAAUAAAAGGUGUUUUAUUUAUGUUCAAAGUGUUGAUACCAUAUUGGAUUCAAUUAUUAUUGUGUUUCACUUUGCAUGUUUUGACUUCCCGAAUAAACUAGGUUAUUCUUCCGGAAUGACUAAGUUAUUCAAACCAUCCACAGUCGGUCAUAUGUUGGAAGUAGAUAUGAAUUAAGACUGUCAUGGGUUGGCUUGUAGAGGUCUAAGGUGUUGGACAAAGGGCUACAACACUCAUGAGUGCUCAUAAGUUCUGAGUAUUGGAUUCAACCCGCGCUCAUUGGAAUCACUUCAUGGAUUUUAUCACGAGUGAUCAUGAGACGAUAAUAUCUUAUAUUCUUCAAACCUAGAGAUAUGAGUUGUUACUAUGAGUUGGUUAUACAUUGAUUGCACGAAAACGCAUUGGUAACUCGAUGUUAUAAAACGUGCCUUUGUGUAUGAUUCAACAAGUAGUAGAACAAGCCAUAUGAGUCGAAGUUUAUCCGUUCCUUUUACCUUCGGGAUAAAAGCGAUAUCUGUGGGCCCCUCGAUGAUUUGAUGAUGACAAAUGGAAGUGCUCGGCCGGGCCAGGACUGAUUUGAUUUGUUCAAUUAGUCAGUCGUCAUAAAUCGGAAAUCGGGAAACAACAAAUGGACAGAGAGAAUGAUUAUAAUCCAUGUCUCAGUCCAUAUGAUAUCUAGAAUGGAGGAAUAUAUGAUCCCUUAUCUAAUGGACAUGUCAUUUGAUUUGUUCAGAGUUUGACAGCGGCUUUAAGAGCUACGAUUGCUAGUCGGGAUCUUGGAGUCAUACUUGAAUAAUAGUUUUAGACUUAUCCAAGUGGGAGACUGUUGGAUUAGGUGUCUAAGCCCAUAACUAUUAUUGGUAUGUAUUCGACCCGAGAGUAGCAUGGUCCAUUUGGGUUGCAUAUCAUCAGGACAAUUUGUUAGGAUGGACUUUUGAGAGAAGGUUAUUUAUGGUUUAUUAAUAUAUUAUAAGUAAUAAUAUAUUAAUAUGAAAUCAUAUGUUUUAAUUAGUAUUGAUCAAGAAUUAAUUUGGAAUUAAUUUAGUGGUCGAAAGAGACUAAUUAAAUCUAUGGGGACUAAUUAUGAUAAUUAGUUAUAUUUAUAUGUGUUGGGCUUAUGAUCCAUGUUGGACCAAGUUUAUGUAUGGAUACAUAAAGAGUUGGGCCACAUGAACCAUGGAUCAUAAAACCCAUGGGUAUGGAUUUGGGUUAUAUCCAUGACCAUAGAAAUCCCACAUAUAAAUAGAUACUUCAUUGCCCAAAAUCGCCACUUGUAUCUUUUUAGAGUUCAUGGUGUCUUUUGUGUGCAUGAAAUUCUCUCUCAAGUUCUUCCUUUUUCCAUGGUGUGUUGUGAUUCCAUUUGAGGCUUCCACACUAUUGGGGCUAAGCUCUUUAAGGCCAAAUACACCAAGAAUUCAAGCUCCAUCAAAAGGUAUGUCAUGCUAACUAGUAUAUUACAUUUUUAUGUUAAAUGCAUGCUAGUUGUAAGAUUAAUACCUUGGAAACCAUUUGCAUGUAUAAUUAGUGAAAACAUAGAUCCAAGGUAUUUAGGGUUGUAUGUGCACCAUAGGAUGUUGUAGUAUACCAAAACUCAACAAAACUUACUGGUGUUAUUCGAUAGACUCUCGAAGAACACAAAAAGAAUGGUGAUAAAGGAAAAGAGAAAGCCACUGGAGAAUCUUCAAGCGCAAAGGUGAAGCGUCCCUCGUUCAAAUAUUUCAAGAGUAGUGGUGCUACGGAGUUUUCUGGUGUCCUUAAUCGCAUAGUUGUUCUAACUUGGAUUCAGAACACUAAGAAAGUAUUUCGUGUCUCCCUUGUGGAUAAUGAAGACAAGGAAAUCUAUGCUUCUGCAAUGCUCAUCGGAGAAGCCUUGGUCUGGUGGGAAGCAACAUAUGAAGCUCUCAACGGAUAUGACCAGGAGAAUUUAUCAUGGGAGUUGUUCAAAACUCGUGUGCUAGAGAAGUAUUGUCCUUUAAAUAUGAGGAGAAGAUUGGAGAAGGAAUUCCUCGAGCUUAAACAAGGAGGAAUGACUGUGAAUGAGUAUGAAACUCAGUUCAAUCAAGAAGCACGGUUUGCUGCAAAGUAUAUUCCAACUGAAGACGAGAAAAUCCAGUUAUUCAUGGAGGGAUUACGACAAGAAAUCCAUGAUUUUGUAGCCAAUCGGGAUGUUCUGUCGUUUGAUAAAGUUGUUGAGUAUGCUCGAAGGCGUGAGCAUGACUUAGAGAUAUGUGGUGCCACUCUUACUAUUCUAAAGCAUCCACGUACUGGAAGAACUAAUCUUGUUUACACUAUUCCACCAGCUCAAUCUGUUCGAACUAAUCCUAGCAAUCAAGCACAAUCUCAGUGUGCUUUUUGUGGCCGCGGCAGGUCGCAAUCUUUUUUCUAUUCAAUCACCUUCAUGUCGUGUUUGUGGAAGAAAUCACCCGGGUCAAUGCAAAAUAGAAAAGGAAUCCAUUUUUUGUUAUGGGUGUGGAGAAACUGGUCAUAUAAAGCCAGCUUGCCCAAGGAAGGAUGUGACUUGCUAUGCAUGUGGUAUUACUGGCCACAAGAAGCGUUUUUGCCCUACUCUUACUAGCCAAGUGACGGGAAGUCAAGCUUCUGUUCAACAACCGGCAAGAAGUCAAGUCCCUGUCUAACAACCAAAGAAUACUCCAGCUAAAAAGGAGGAGUUGCCAAAAGCUAAGGGUCGUUCAUUCCAGAUUACCACUGAGGAAGCAUGCAAGGACCUGAAUGUUGUGACGGGUACAUUUCUUGUCAACUCUAGACCUGCUCACAUCUUAUUUGAUUCUGGUGCCAGAGAUUCUUUUGUAUCUUAUGAAUUUAGCAUUCUUUUCAAACUACUUGCUAUGCACUUGUGCAACCAUUUCAUGUAGAUACUGCAGGAAGUAUAUCAUUACUUGCUGAUAAAAUCUAUAGGGAUUGUGUCAUAGAAAUUGAAGGCUAUAAUUUUCUUGCUAACCUAAUCUCUAUCUCCUUGCGCAACUUCAAUAUUAUUCUCGACAUGGAUUGGUUGUCAAAGAACCAUGCAGAGCUCUUGUGUUAUGAAAAGAUGGUACACAUUCCUAUUGAAGGGGAAGAUCCUAUUCAUGUCUACGGUGAACAAAGAAUCUUAAAAAUAAUUUCUUUCCAUAAAACUCGUAAAUAUAUAUCGAAGGGUUUCCCUAUUUAUCUAGCCUAUACAGCUGACAUCUCAACAAAGGAGAAUAAAACUAUAAAUAAUGUUCCAAUUGUUAACGAAUAUCCUGAUGUUUUUUCCGAUGAUCUGCCUGGACUUCCUCCGGACAGGCAAGUAGAAUUCCGAAUUGACCUUGUGCCUGGUGCAGCUCCGAUUGCAAAGACUCCUUAUCAUCUUGCGCCAGCCGAGAUGAAGAAAUGAUGAUCCAACUGAAGGAAUUACUUGACAAAGGCUUUAUUUGACCGAGUACCUCUCCCUGGGGUGCUCCAAUAUUGUUUGUCAAGAAGAAGGAUGGACCGAUGGGAAUGUGUAUUGAUUAUCGUGAGCUGAAUAAGGUGACUAUCAAGAACAAGUACCCGCUACCUCGCAUCGACGAUUUGUUCAAUCAACAUCAGGGUGUUAGCUAUUUCUCAAAGAUUGAUUUGAGAUCUGGCUAUCAUCAGUUGAUAGUACAAGCGCAAGAUGUACCGAAGACUGCUUUCCGUACUCGUUAUGGUCAUUUCGAACUCCUUGGCAUGCCAUUCGGUUUGACAAAUGCUCAUGCUGUAUUCGUGGAUAUGAUGAAUCGAGUAUGCCACCCAAUGCUCGAUAAGUUUGUCAUCAUAUUCAUUGACGAUAUUCUAAUCUAUUCCAUGUCUGAAGCUGAUCGUGCCGUUCAUAUUCGUGAAAUCUUAGAACUUCUUCGAAAGGUGAAACUUUAUGCUAAAUUCUCGAAAUGUGAAUUUUGGCUUCGCCAAGUUCAAUUUCUCGGCCAUGUUAUUUCUGGUGACGGUGUAUCUGUAGAUCCUACCAAAAUCGAAGCCAUUUAAAAUUGGGAAGUGCCCCGUAAUGCUUCCGAAAUUCGUAGUUUCAUGGGUCUUGCGGGUUAUUACCGAAGAUUCAUUAAAGACUUUUCUCGUAUAGCUGUACCUCUCACUAGUCUCACUCGAAAGGAAGAAAAGUUCGAAUGGGUUGAAGCCCAAGAAAAAGCCUUCUCGAAUUUAAAAGAUCUUUUGACUCAUGCUCCCAUCUUAUCACUUCCAGAAGGUGAUGAUGAUUUCUCUAUAUAUAUCGAGGCUUCAAGAUUGGGACUCGAUUGUGUGUUGACGCAGCGUGGUAAAGUGAUAGCCUAUGCCUCAAGACAACUGAAUAAUUAUGAAAAGAAUUAUCCCACCCAUGAUCUCGAACUCGCUGCAGUGGUAUUUGCCCUAAAACUUUGGAGACAUUAUCCUUUUGGUACGAAAUGCCAAUUGUUUACCGACCACAAGAGUCUCAAGUAUAUAUUCAGUCAGGAAACUCUGAAUACGAGACAACAACGAGUCAUGGAGCUGAUCAAAGACUAUGACUGCGAAAUCCUGUACCAUCCUGGAAAGGCUUAUGUGGUCGCAGAUGCACUUAACAGGAAGGUUUAUCGUAAUAGUAUGUGCUAUACUAUUACUCACACUAUGGUGAAGUUCACUAUUCUUGAUGAACUAGAGAAGUGGAAAGUUGAGGCCUUAAAGCCAGAAAAUGUGAAGAAGGAAUGGAUGGUACAUUAUGCUGAUGUUUUACUUGAUGAUCCACGAGGAUUAAAAGUAUUUAAGAAUCGGCUAUGGAUUCCAAAGAUUGGUGGAUUAAGACAAAAGAUUUUUGAUGAAGCUCAUAAGUCUAAGCUGUCAAUACAUCCUGGUACAAGUAAAAUGUACUAUGAUGUAAGAGCUGAUUAUUGGUGGCCUGGAUUAAAGAGAGACAUUGGAUGAUAUGUGCAGGAAUGCUUAGUAUGCUUACAAGUCAAAACAAAGCACCAAAAGCCUUACGAAACUCCAGAAAGCCUUAGUGUUCCUGUAUGGAAAUGGGAAGAGCUGUCCAUGGAUUUUAUUACCAAAUUGUCAAAGACUGCUAGACAGCAUGAUAGCAUUUGGGUAAUCAUUGACCGCCUGACUAAGAGUGCACAUUUUCUCGCCAUGCGUGAAACAGAUCCAAUGGAGUAAUACGCACAAGUAUACUUAGAUGAAAUUGUUGCAAGACAUGGUGUGCCACUAAAGAUCAUUUCCCAUCGCGAUACUCGUUUCACUUCUCAUUUUUGGGCGAGUAUGCAACGUGAAUUGGGAUCUCGAGUUUCCCUCAGCACAACUUAUCAUCCCCAGACAGAAGGUCUGAUAGAGAGAACAAUCCAAACAAUAGAAGAUAUGCUUCGUGCAUGUGUCUUGGAGUUCGGUUGUAACUUGGAUAAAGACUUGCCUCUUGUCGAAUUUUCAUAUAAUAAUAGUUACCAUGCUUCAAUCAAAAUGCCACCAUAUGAAGCAUUAUAUGGUCGCAAAUGUCGUACACCAUUAUGUUGGCGUGAUGUAGGACAGAAGAUCCUUGGAGGCCCUGAAAUGAUUCAAGACACCACCGAUAAGAUUCAAAUCGUAUGAGAAAGAAUGAAAGCGGCCCAGGAUCGACAGAAGUCAUAUACAGAAAAGAGAAGAUGACCAAUAGAAUUCCAAGUGGGUGAUUUUGUAAUGCUGAUGGUAUCCCUAUGGAAAGGCCUUAUGAGAUUUGGGAAGAAAGGAAAGUCAAGUCCUAGAUUUGUUGUACCUUUCAAAAUCAUCCAGAGAAUUGGAAAGCAAGCCUACCGCUUAGAAUUACUAGAAGAUUUGGCAGGUAUUCAUGAUGUGUUUCAUGUGAGUUAUCUGCGCAAAUGCUUGAGCAUCUACGAUUUGACGGUUCCGUUGUCCGAGGUGAAAUUAGAUAAUAAGGUAAGAUAUGUCGCUGAGCCUGAAAAGAUCGUGAAUGAAAGAACAACUAAGCUAUGUAAUAAAGAAGUAGAAUUGGUUAUUGUCAAGUGGAAACACCAUCGAGGCCCAAAUUAUACUUGGGAAAAUAAGAAUGAGAUAAGAGAAAAAUAUCCCCAUUUAUUUUAAAUCGAUGUAAUUUCGGGGACGAAAUCCUCAAAAUGAGGAGGUAUUUGUAACAUACAUGUUUUGAAAUCAUGUUUUGUAAUGAAUAAAAUUGUGAAAUAUUAUGUGAAAUUGAGUGUUGAGUUCUAACAUAUAGUUUUUACUAGAAAUGAAGUAAAACUAUGUUUAGAAUCACUCAGAAAAUGUUGGAAGUCUUAUGAGAUUCCAAUUAAAAGUUAAAUAGUGAAAUCUAGCGAAAAUAUAAAAUUUGAAAUAAUUAAAAUUUUAUUAUUGAAAGUUGUAGAUAAUCUCGUUAGAAACAUUAACUCGAAAUCCGAGUUAUAACGAAGAAGUUAUGACUAAUCAAAGAUUCGCGACAAAACCGACACGACGCCGAAUGACGUAAAAAGUGAGUUUGUAAUAAACUACUUUUUAGCCUUAGUAAUCUGAAUGAAAGUCAUAGUAUUCGUUAAACCGAGAUGUUUGAUAAAAAGAACUCCAAAAUCUGACUUCACAAUGGUACUGGUACGUAGCCUCUGGCCAUGUAGUGCAUGUCUCCGUAAGAGAAUGACUUCUGUUCUAUGGCAUUGGCAAAUGGUUAGACAAGGCUAUAAGCCUGAAAUCUACCAAGAUAUUAAUCAGAAAUCUUAUUUCAUCUGUGCCAUUUGGGCCGAAGUUUUAUUGAUGUAUAUCAAGUAUGGAAAUUGUUAUGUCUCAUUGAUUGUAUACAUUUGAAUCAAGUCAUUGUUUGAUAUGGAAAGCUUAAUACAUCAUUCACAUAUGCCUUUGUUGCUCCUUGAUUCUCUUUGCUUCUGCCAUAUUGAAGUAUAUAUAUAUAUAUAUAUGGCAUAACGUUAUAUUCUAUCUAUUAUUGAACUCACUAAGCGUCACCGCUUACCCCUAUCAAUGUUUAACAAUUGCAGGUGAUAAGUAAUCAGUAUGAUCGUAUACUAUUGGAAGAUUUAGAAUAGUUUGUAAUAGUACUUUUGUACUUCAGUUUAUGUUUGUAUAAAUUACAAUAUCCUAGGUAGUCAUGUAAUAUAUAACACUUUGUAAUAGUUGGUUUGUAUCCNCAUGGUCCAUUUGGGUUGCACUUCACCGACACAAUUUAUAUGGAUAAUCUUUUGAGAAUAGUAUGUUUAUGAUUAAUAUUAAUAUAUUAUAAGUUCUAAUAUAUUAAUAUGGAAUCAUAUUAUUUAAUUAGUAUUGAUCAAGAAUUAAUUUAUAAUUAAUUAAGUGAUCAAAAGGAACUAAUUAAAUAUGGACUCUUAUAUAUAUAGUAUGGGCCAAGUUCAUUUAGGUUGUGCUAAGCUUUCAUGGAUAGUCCAUGGAGUGUUUAACCAAUGGAUCCUAUGGAAAUGAAAGGUCAUGGGUAUUAGGGUUUACAUGAAUGUAACCCUAAUCCUCCAUACUAUAUAAAGAGGUUUCUAGUUCAUUAAAAGUGCACUAGUCUAUAGUACACAAGAGGGAAAAUGCGAUUUCAUAAGAGUGAACUUAAGUAUUCUUCUUCUCAGGUUAUUCCAAGGGUUUUUUAUUUUGUGUGAACCAUUUGAGGUGCAACACUUGGGGCACUAAGCUCUUAAAGGUUCAAGACUUCAAGAUCUAUCAAAAAGGUAUGUCAUUCUACAAGAUUCAUGUAUUGUAUAUACUUCAUAUUAUGCUAGUUAGGAUGAAACCUUAGAAUAUUGAAUAUUUGCAUGUAUAAUAGAGAAAACAUAGAUCCAAGGAUUAUUGGGUUGCAUGUACACCAUAGGAGUGUUAGAAUGCUCAAAAACCAUCAGUGGUAUCAGAGCCAAGGCUUGUUUUCAAUUAUACUUGAUGCAAUUUGCUGAAAAAAGCUGAAAAAAUCGAUUCUUUGUUGUCUCAACAGGGGACUCGACGAGUCCACAUGCAAAUUCAUCCAACUCGUCGAGUUGGGUCAUGCACUCGACGAGUUGGACCCCCUGACAACAUAUAUUCGAGUAUUUUGUCUGGAAUUUCACUAGGAACGUUACCCCAAGCUAUAUUUAAACUUGUAAACCGGUUUUUGAUGUUGUAAUGCUCAUGCUAAUCCAAUUUCAAAGAUAAUUGUCAAUAGAUUAAUGUUUUGUGUUAGUUUAAUGGUUAGGCUAAUUACACAAAAAUUGUUUGAUAUAAAUUAUCUUGUUCUUAUGAGUUAGCUUAUAUUAAUAGAAAAAUUAUGUGAUAGUGUGUUUUCAAUUCAAAUUGAUCUAGAAGUUGUUCAUAAUAUGUGUUUUUGUAACUUGUCCUCAAGUUAUAUGAAAAGUCACAUUUAUGAUUUUUAAAAACUAAUAAGAUUUUCAUAAGUUAUAAAAAUGAAGAGUCUCAUUUUUAAAUGUUUUAAAGUCUUCCAUAACUUGUCCUUAAGUUAUGAAAAUUGAAGAGUUUUUCCAUUAAAAACUAAUUUAAACUCAUAAGUUAUGGAAUUGAAUUUUUUUUUUUUUGAAUUGUUGAAAACUUGCCCUCAAGUUUUGGAAUUUGUAAACCUUCCCCUUAUGAAUACUUUAAUUCCAAGUUAAACCCUUCAUUAGUAGGCCUCAUUCACGAAGUCGGUCUAUAAGGGGGGUAUAAGGUUACUGCCUAUAAAAUGGCAGUUUAAUGGGUGUCCACUCUCACCCACCGCUUCCUUGACUAGUGGAGGGUCAUUAGUCGAACGGGUAGGACUAGACUAUAAUUCUCCCAUCAUUAAAAGUAUAAUGAUAAAUACUAAGUAACUAAACACGUAUAAAUUCCCAAUCUUAGUUACUUUGGAAAAUGUAAGCUUGGUGCUAACCCAUGAAAUUACACUUUGCAACGGAACAAUAACUUGGAUUUAAGAAGGUUAACAAAGGGUGGCUUAAGGUUUAUUAUAGAUCAGUGGAGUGCGUGUGGUUAACUGGCACAUAGAGUAGGUUAUAAAAUUAAGAGCACCAAGUUAAUUUGCAUGGUUAUUCACACCUUGUUUGUGAUCCUCGGCAUCGUAAUCACAAACUUGAGAGGGCACAAUCUAGAUUUAAACAUGGCAUUGAAAAGUUCAAUGAAUCUAAAAGGAUCUAGGAGUUUCAAUUCACUUAAGACCUAAAAUUCUUUUUCGUUUUUCAUGGUGGAAAUUGGUAAAUCAUCAUUUACCUACCUUCAAAUGUUCUAUAGCUUGGAUUAUGGCAUCCCUCUUCCAAGUUAUAAAGUACUGUGUUGAGUCGUAGCCUUAAUAUUUCAUUUUGGGUGUUAUAUUAAGGACUUAAAUCGACUAACUUCAAGUUCUCCCAAUAUAGAAAUCUGCUUAAGACAACUACGAUCUUCCUAAAUCUCUUGGAACAAGCUUUCCUAACGAAGAUGAUGUGUCAUGGUUGGAUCAUUGAAAUCAUACUUCUCUUCUUCUACCUCUUCCAACCUAACCCACAAGUUCUUGAAAAGUUCAAGGUCACUCAAGCCCUAUUGGCAAGCAAAGUCUAUGUGUGCUCACAUCUUGGAAACAAAGUCACAUAUUGACAAGCCGAGAGAGUUGGGUGUCAAGGUCUUGAGGAAGUUGGUUGUUGACUAGGUUCUUCAAUCACUUUCUAAGUCACAUAGUGAGUUCCUUUAGGACUACUACAUGACAGACUAUGACAUAACCGUUAAUGAUCUUUCCUAUUUGCUUGAUGCUGCUGAAUCAACAUUGAUUUCAAGCACGGGUAAAGUAAACUUGAUUGGAAGAUCGAAUUCCCAAACUUCCAUAAACAUUGAUAUGGUAACAUUAGAAAUCCAGAAAAGCAUUCUCUUCCCAAUGGAAAGGGAUCGGCCAUAGUUAACUCGAUUGACCAAAUGGUAAAGAGAAAGGCUAUGUCUGAAAUAGUCUCGUGUAUCAUUCUCAAAGAGUCCAUAUGUUUCUAUUUCAAAAGGAAGGGCAUUGGUUACGAAUCUUCCUUGUUUACCUGAAAGAUCAUUAGGAUGGUAAAGUCAAAAAGUUUGACUGUACUUCGGGUAAAGUCCGCUAUCUAACUCUAUUAAGUUCUAAUUUGGAGAUUCUUGUUACAUGAUGUUACUAGGUCACAUUUUGAUGUUCUAUAGAAUCGAAGAAAGGGAGAUUAAAAGAAGAGUAAGAUAAUUAUGGUCGCAAGGAGAUGGAUUUCAAUCAUAUGAUUCGAAGAUCAGAAGUUUGAGCUACUCCUUAAGAAUUAUUAUAGAUUUCUUAGGAAUAGAUAACAACAUAGUUUUCAUUUGUAUUUGCAUUGUAAGGAUAAGUUUUUCCGCAAGUUUUAAAAUAAAAAAAAAGUUUCAAUUUUAUUUGUUUUAAAUUUCCUUACAAGGGUAUUUGUGAAAAAUUGUUGUUUAUAUGAUUUCAUUGAUAGCAAUAUUGGAAAAUGGAUUCGGUUCUUUAGUUUUUGGUAGUGUCAUAAUUUACCAAAUAAGGAAAGAUUCUCAUCACCCAAGUUUCAGUUGGAUAGAAACUUGGAAUCAUGCAUCUUGUAUUGUAUGAUGAAUGAGAAUGUUAAUCUUUGGAAAAUUAAAACUAAUUCCUUGUUCACAUGUUUUUGUGAGUCAAGUGAAGGACUAUAGGAUCAGGUACACUUGGUAGUGCACUGGUCAGGUCCACCACAAAGAUGAAUAAGGCUAUUCAUCAUGAUUUAGUAAAGUUUCGUAAAUAUGGUUAUGCUUAAAAGUUUAAGUAUAGUUCUGAAACAUUGGAAAAGUUUCAAUGUAUGGCAAUACGAAUGAGAAGAAUAAAAUCGGGCAGAAAGAUAAAAGUUUUUGCAGUCUGAAAAGAUGGGAGAGUAUUUGAGUGAUUAUGAAACCAUAUCACAAUUGAUUCUCCAAGGACACAUUAGUGCAUUUGUUUGACUAAGAAGAGGAAUCGUGAUUUGUUGAAUUUGUUAAAUCAAAAUAUAAAUCUUCAUUCCAAAAACAAGUCUUAUAGUGAUACUCCAAUAUUGUAACUUGAGUGACAUAAUCUUAAGAAGGUUUAUAACACUUGUGAAAUGUGGAGUAAAAUGUUUUCUUACUCUUGUACAUACAAAAAUUGGUAAGUUGUGAUGUUUUGGAUAAAACAAACACCAACUAAGGCCAAUUGUGUGAAGUGUUUGUCUUGAUAAAAAUCCGCACUAACUCUUGAAUAUAUUAUUUGUCAAGGAAUGGUUCUUGACGUAAGAAUCUUAUGUGUUAAGAGGUCAGUAGGAGUCUUAAAGAUCUUUAAAAAGUUUCAAGAACUAAUCAAUAAUAAAACCUAUUGUUUAUCACUAGCACAUGACUUAAGGUUUGUAACCUAUCGUGUUGACAUAUUCUUAUUUCUCUGCCCAUUCUAAUUAAACUUGACUAUUCAUGUGAGUUCUUUGAGUUCUCAGUUGUUUGCAUAACUACUUGGAAGCAAUGGUAGGCCCUUGUGCUGCCAGGUGGAAAGAAGCUAAGGUUGAGCAAGUUCAGUCCAUAUGAUCUUGGAUUUGUCACUAACCGUGUCUUGUGAUUAUGGUUAUAACAAAUUCACAUGGAUAUGAACACAUACACCAUAAAAUCUAUGUAUCAUCAGGUUUGUCUUCGAUUCAUGAAAAUGAUGGUGAGGAAAUACUUUCAUUAAGUAGAUUUAAGUAGAAAGAAAUUGUGAUAUUUGCAUUCUUAAAGUUGUUAGUGGACCAUGUGUGGUGAACCGACUCACUAACAUGGACUUGUGAGAAAUGAAGACGGUCUAAACAAUUGAGACUAUGAUUACAACAUCCCUUUUCAUAGUUCUACAAAUUGUUUAGACACACAUGUGAGCUAUCUAAGGAAAGGUGUAUGAUUAUGAUAAAGUUUUAUCAAGGCAUCUUGUAUAUGAAAUCUGAACUUUGGUAAGAAAGUCAAGAAAGUAUUUAUUUCUAGAAGUGUAGCUGAUUUUUGGACACAUGUCAAAGCUAAUGGGAGCAUAAGUGUUAUGCUAAUAAUCGGUGUUGUAAAAAUCCCGAUUAGAUCCCGAUUAAUCCCUAAGCGCUACUCGACCGAUUAGAGAGUGCCUAGCGAUUAAUCUAUGCAUACAAAAUGACUGAAACAGUAGAACCCGAUGAAAUUUUAACACUUUGAAGAAGUUAUAUCUCAAUCGAAACUAUUUGAGGUAUGAUUAGUGUUCUAUUUAUCAUAUUAACCUAUUUUGUUAUGAUAUUAGUGGUAUUUUUGAACUUUUAUAUGAAAUUAGUCAUAUUUAAUCUUUUAAAAUCCAAAAAAAUAGCAAUUAAUGGUCCCCGAUUAAUCUCCGCCUAGCUGAUUCAUCCUUUGACCCCAGUCCACCGAUUAGCUAACGUCAAGGGAUUUUUACAACCUUUCUAAUAAUUAUCAUGUUAGUGGGAGCAUGAUUAUUAUAUUAGGUGUUGCAAGUUAGCAAUGUUAGCUAUAGAAAACCAAAUUUUCAAUUGGGAAAAGUUGUUUUGCUAUAAUUAAGGGAGAUUAAUUCUACUUCAUUUCAAUUCUAAAAGCUUGGAUUGAGAUUUUAAUCAUCUUUAGUCGAUGAUAUAUAUAUAU